CCUUGUUUAGACGUAGCCAACUCAUAUCUCUUGCCUUCUGACGGGUCCCAUAUUUAGAUUCCAGACAAAGGAGAAAAUCCUACUUCUUGCUUCAGUAGUACGAACUAUCUUGAAAGAUACUCACAUCGUCACUUGCCAUGCAGAUUUAUGCAGCUGCUAACUUUGGAUAGGUCCCGUUCGAAGUACAAUUUCGUCAACCAGAUGAAGAGGAAUUCGGGAAAGGCGACAGCGCCGCAGAAAACGAAAUGAUUCCGGAGGUGGUGCCGAAAAUGUGGUAGUUAGUAAAGAAUCUUUGCGUGGAUGAAGAUUUGGGGUGUGAUAUGACAAGAAGGGAAAGUAAAGAUUCCAAGAAGUUGUCAGGUUCAUCCAGAGUAUGGACUAUGGACCCAUGCGUGAGAGCUUCUAGACGAUCUACAACGGGAGUUUGACCAGGUGUGGACGGACGGACUCCACCUACAUGCUGGCUGCUGCAUUUGCACUCUAGUGCAUUAUCACACAUGAUGUUGGACAGUGCCAAACAAUGAAUGGUUUGGAUAUGGAGGUGUGGGCUGGAGUGUUGGCAUCACCCAGAAAUAAACCAGCCGGAUGGAGGUCUUGCAUUGCACCCGGGUUUGGGGAAACCCGGUUGGCUUUGGAUGGAUGGAUGCGGAUGGGAGUGCGGUUGGGAAUGCCCAUGAAAAUGACCGGGUGUGGUACGUGGGGCUGCCAUGGCGCAGGUGUGGCUCCAUCGUCUCAUCUUGAUUAGGAUUCGCUAAAAGGAGAAUAAUGAUACAGCAGGCCAUAAACUAAUGGGGGCCGUCCGUCCACGGAGCAUAUGCAGCAGCCAGCAUGUAGGUGGAGUCUCCGUGUUGAACUCGAAAAGCAGCUCAAAGAAAUGCAGUUCGGCACGAAACAAUGGCGCCAACCCAGGAUAUCGCCAACCCAUGAAACUAUGGGGUCCAUGGAUCAAUCAUGGACUAAUGGUGAUGAUGAUCAACUGCCAUUUGCCAUGCUAUUACGUUUACGGUGUCUGUGUUGAGUUUGGAGAGGUCCAAAGUACAUAUUAGAUCUUGUUGUGUGACGUGGUAGUUGUUUUAUUUACUCCCUCCGUUUCAAAAUAACUAUCUUAACUUUGUACUAGCUCUAGUAUAAAAUUAUACUAAGCUUUAGACAUUUAUUUUGGAAUGGAGGAAGUAUAAAUUAAGACAAAAGCCUAUUUUAAAAAGUACAUAUUAGAUGAUUCUUUUUCUUA